CGUGAAGUCAGUUGUAAGCUAAAAGCCGCGGCGCCGUCCACAGCAGGUUGGUGUGUUAGAGUGAAACACUUCCUCAUUCUGGAGCCAGAAAGCAACUGUACAGUUUGUCCUGCUGUUUCUGCAUGAAUGUGACGUCCAGGCUUAGAACACAAACACCUCCCUCCUGCAUGUGAGGAAAAAGAGACGGAAGAGACGAGGAGGAGAUGAAAAGACAAGUUUGGAGACCAAGCUGGAGCUGCACCCCCUCUGGACACGUGUCAAACUCCUGGCCCGGGGACCAAAUUCAGCCCUUCAGAGCAUCCAAUUCAGCCUGCAGGAGAAAGUAAAGGUGUGCCUAAUUUCCUGAUUGUCUCACUUCACUGUGAUUAAACAAACAUUAGUUUGAAUCUCCUCCUCUCGCUGCAAAGGAAAUGGCAAGGUAAGACAAGCAUAUAGCUCAUUUUAUACCCAACGCAAUCUAAUGUGCUUUACAUGAUGACAAGUGC
rnacentral:lncRNA from 1 species